UGCAAAGUGACUUCCAGCAAGUGUUGCUGAUAGACCUGAUGUGUAGCUAUUCAUGAGGUGACCAGGAAAAGGCUCAAGUUUAAGGUGCCACAGUUUACCAAAAAUGCUUCCUGGUUCCGCAUUCUGAAGGGACAGGAGUGUCCGACAUACGUGCUUCCAACUUGCCUUGAAUGUGUUGAAUGGAAGACUAGAAUUCAUGACACCAAACUUCCAGCUGGAACUCUUCAGAAUGUCACUGAGAUCGCCAAGUGGUGGUUGUGGUUUAUACAAGGUUGCAAGUGAAGUGAGCUUGGCACUGUAAGCAAUAUGCACAACCAAAAACAGGAGGGCACUUGAGUGCUGCACUAACCUCAUGGAGAAACUUGAAGGAGAGUCUGUUCCUGUGAAUACAUGAUGGUCACAGUUGUGAAGAGGUUUGAUAGGAAACCUGACCUUUGCGUGGAUCCAUGCAGAUUAUACGUGAUGUAAUGGAGUAGGUUGUUAAUGGAUGUGAACAAGAGGAGACCCACAAUGAGAGCAAACCAUGUCCAGACAUUGAAUGGAUGAAAAUACCAGUCCAUGGAGGGUUCCUUUGUUCCUUCAUGUACAUACAGCUGUGUUCUGCAAGUACAACUAAGAAUUUUUAAUAAGGCCUCUAUCGUUGAUAUAAUCUUUUAAUGACCUAUAGAUAAACAUAAAUUAAACUUAGUCAAAUGUUGUUUAUGAUACACUGUUGUGUUAGUUUAAUAGACUUACGCAGCAGUGUGGAGAGGCAAGGUAAAAUCUAUGACUUCUAAUCGGUCUGCUGUAAUAGAUACUUCACAGAUUGAUAAAUCAGCUUCCUGUUUUUGAAUCGCACCUAUCAUUCCAGUCCACAUUGAAGUGUUGUCAGUAGGUGUGUUCCCAUAGGAAUAACCAGGCAGGUAUAUGAUAGUGUAACUGCAGGCAGAGAGUUCUUGGUAUCAACACAAAAGAAUUAUACAAAUUUGUUCCAGGCCUACAAUCUGGAGCUACCCAAUAAAUAAAAUUGAUAAAAAUUACCCCUGUAACACGAUGAGUACCCGUUAUAUGUCUAUACUGCUAUUUAGAAAAAUUCACUGUCACACAUAUCAAAAGUGUGGUCUAAUGCUAUUUGCACACAAAUCAUGAAAGUGCGCCAACAAAUAGAGUCAAUUUUGUAAAACAAUAAUAAAGUAAGAUCAAAGGAAAGAAUGCUAUCUGUGUGCCUAAAUUACCUGCCACAAAGGUGUGAUUUUAAAGCUCCAUGCAUUCCUAUCCUUGGCACUAGAUUGUUAUUAAGUAUUCAGGUUUAUGCUCUAGUUGCUAUGGAAAAGUCCUCUGUACCCACUGGAUAAGAGGAUAGGUGGGCCCCAGUGCAAAGAGGAAUAUCCCUGUUUGUGUCAAACUUCAGUCAUCCAGGCCAUCAGUCAAGUAAAAUAAAUCUGUCAUUAAUCCAUAUUGAUUAAAUUAAUUAACAGAAUUCUCAUGUUAUUACGUUAACACCGUGAGGUUUCUCAUAUGAAUUUAUUCACAAACUUCAUACACAACAUGAACCAAAGAUUUAUUGGUCCCUCUUCUAAUAAGGAAUUAAUACCUCAACAUAUUUGGUAGUAGAACAAAACAAUCUACUCACGUAAAAUUCAGUGCAUUUGCAAGAGUUUUGAAGACUUCACCAAAGUAUCCUCCUGUUACUUGGAAAUGAUCACCACUCUUUUGUAUUUGAGUGUAAAAUUCAUUAAUCUGGUUAAAGGACAAAUUAAAGUUCAAAUAAUGUAAUUACAUUUAGUGUUGUAAACAUGUGUGAAACUUUUGUAUCUUAAUAAUGAGAUGCACAUUUUACAUACCUAUUCUGGAUGUAGAAGAAAUCUAAUAAGGUAAAAUUAUACUUUUAAAAUUGAUAGAUGAGGAAAGUCUCUUUAUUUCUCACUCAAUCAAUUUCACAAUUAUAACACAGUUUCUGUUCUUUUAUUGAAAUUGUUUAAAUUAAAAGUCUAUGUUUUUACUGGUGAAUCUAUUGAGGAAUCCAAUUCAGGGACAAUUGGUGGACUCUUAUUAUUCUUUAUUAUUAUUAUUAUUGUUUGUGUGCUGUAUCAACAGCCUGAUGUGUGUAUAUAUAAUUAAUCUUUAGGUUCUAUAAAAAGUGGGGAAUUUAUUGACUAGUUUAGUGUACUAGCAUCUUCUUAACAAGAACUCUGAUGUAUGUAGUUCAUUUUUAGGAAAAACAAACAGUUGUACAGAGCAUGUUUAAAAAAAGUUUCGAAUUUGUAAUUUCUUUGAUGUGCCUUACCAGUACGGUUGUUGCUCGAAGUUGGUAUCCCUGCAGAUUUCCAUGCCUGUGUCUGUCGUACUUGUGUGUUGAAGGUGGGACUAAGUUGCCAGGGUUCCAUUCACUAAUAAUGUGAUGCUGGAGACUGGUGUUCUGACCCAGUGUGCCCAGUGCAUAUGUCUCCAAUAACUGCAUUUGGAAGGAUAGUUCAUGAAUAUGACAGUCAUGUUCAACUAGGUACAUGCCUUUAUUUUGUUUAAUAAUUUUGUUAUCUCCUUCAUUGGGACGUUUCAAAGUCAUGUAAAUAUGCAAAAAGUACCAAGAAAUUAUGAGUUUUCAAAUGCAGUUAAAUCCUCAUUUUAGAUAGGCUGACAAUCCAUCUACACAAGUUUUUUAUUAUAGUCUCAGUGUUUAUUAAAAAUUUACUACACGUUUUGACUUUAAUUGGUCAUCUUCAAGAUGUUCUCUUUAAGUGUUUUAAAUUAAUAGAUAUGACCAGCUAAGACUCUAAUAAAAUAGGUAAGCUGCUUAAGACAAAAUUCAUUAUGUAGUGAAGUCAGCAACAGAAAAUGUGUGUGCAAAUUAGCAGUCAUAUCUAUUAGUUUUAAACACUUAAAGAGAACCAUCUGAAGGUGACCAAUUAAGGUCAGAACAUGUAGUGGAUUCUUAUUUUUAAGUGUUUUAAAAAUGUUCAGUUCUCUCCAUGUACCAGAUUGAAGCAAUUUGUUCAAACCUGGAUAUUUGCUUCCUUGCCAUAGACUGCAAUGAAGAUAUUGCUAUCAAGUCGGAUGUUGAGCUGAGCAAGGUUUUGAAACAAAUGAGAUGAAAGUGAAUCAGAAGUUAAGAACAGCCAGAGAAUCCUUCCAUUGAAUUGUCCUUCCUGAGAACACUGAAAAUAAAUUUGAAUAACUCAGUAAA